UAAUCUAUAAUCAAUAAACAGUGUAUAAACUCUAGAGCUAUCUUCUAUAUUUAAUCAAUAAUCUAUAAUCAAUAAACAGUGUAUAAACUCUAGAGCUGUGUUCUAUAUGGAGUUGAUCAAUAAUCAAUAAUCAGAAGCUGUCACACACUGACUGUUUACCAUCCACUGUUUAGAUCUUGGUGCUUUUUAACUCUAGAUUUGAACCGGAUGAAGGAUUUUAGUCAUCAGACGUCUGGAUCUUAAGUUAUCAGAGAAACAAGCUGAGCUAACGUUAGCAGCAGCUCGGCUCGCAGCCCCUCCGGGACGUCCUUUGUCUGUCCAACAGCGUGGGAGAAGCAGUGAUUGUUAAGGUGGAACUGCUUUAUUCAGUGUGUUUAAGGUGGAACUGCUUUAUUCAGUGUGUUUAAGGUGGAACUGCUUUAUUCAGUGUGUUUAGUGGUUUUAAUCAGCGGGUCUGUUUGUGUUGGAGAGGAGGAGACCUCUGUGGAUCAUUGGGCUCCCGGUAGAAACCUCCUGAACCAUGAACACUGAAGGAAUCCUAACCGGGAGAAGCUGACUGCAAUGACGCCAAUGGUGGUGAAGACAACAACUCCCAUGAUCCCACGCUGCUUCAACACCUCAUCACACUACCUGUUAGUGGCAGAAAGUACAGACUGUACGUUCAGAUUUACAGAUUCUCUUGUAAUGAUGAAGACUGUCUGACAGGUACAAACAUGUAUGUGUGUUCUGACCUCUGACCCCAGCUGACGAUUGGGUGUUGCCAUGGCAGUGGCCACAGAUCAAUACCCAUUCAAUUCAGAGGUGAGAAGGGGUUGAUGGGAAAAGUUUCUCCCUCCUCCUCCUCCUCCUCUUCAUCGUCUGUAUGUAUGCUGCUCUGAAAGAAAGAUUGCACAGACUCUGAUAACCCAAGACUGAAGUGAGGUGUACUCUCUCAUUGGUGGAUCUGUCACUGUUUUUCUGUGUGUUUGGGUCUGUUCAGGUCCAACACAGUCUGGAUCAGGUAAACAUAAAUAUACAGAAUGUACAGGUAUAUAAAUCAAGCGCUCUGAAGGUUGGUAUCAGUGUCCCACAAGAGUCUUUUUUUGGUCCUCUUUUAUUCAUAUAUACAUUUGUAUGCAGAUGAUACUGUGAUAUACACUUCAGUAUCAUAUCAAACAUAAACCUAUUUAAAAUUCUGACAAAACAAAAUGCAGCUGGUCUAUUUUUGAUGGAAGCUGCUGCUGGCAGGAAGUCAGACACCCAAUCCGGUCAAUUACCAAAUGAAAGUACCCUGAGCAGACUCCUGAUCAUUAAAAUAGACAAAAAGGAAAUUAACUAAACACUUUUUCCAUAUUUUCCCACGUUAAACCCCUAAAAUUCAAGAAGGCCUUUGUAGAAGAAAUCUGGGUUGAAGAAAACUUCACUCAGGUUCCUGACAGAAGUUUCCACCAUUUUACUGUAAUCAAUGUAAAAUAGUUUGUCUCAUUACAGAGUUUACUGCCAUGUCAAAAAACAGCGAUUUAAUCAGGAAACAGGAAAGACAAUAUCAGGAUCAAAUCAAAUUAGGUAAUACAUUUGUCUUCCACACCUCGAAACCCCUAGUUAAGCUUUGGAGACCCCUACUGGGGGUUGGGAACCACUGGUCUACAGUGUUGGGUUUUGUUAUUUUACUUUAUUAUUUCAGUUUGGGCUGGAGAUCACAGCUGGUCCAGUUUUCAGUCAUGUUUUAAUUUAUUUUAGGUGUAGUUUAGAGUGAAUCAGCUGCCUCAGCUGUUCCCCUAAUGUUUGUUCCUUUUGUUCAGGAACCUUUUGAUGUUUGAUUCCUGUUCAGAUUCAUUCUCUUAACAAUAAAGCCUGUGAGUUUUCCUCCAGA